CUUGCCCGUCUCCUUGCCUUCAUUUAAGAAAAGGAGUUGGUGGUUGGUGUCCACACUCAGACACUCAGAUAUAGAGAUCUUCCAUAAAUAAAUAAAAAAAGAUGCCCUGCUGCUCUGGAGAUGUAAAUGACAAACAAAAACUGGCGAAAAGAGCACUUUGGUCCUUAGAAUUGGGCAUAUAUAAAUGGAUUGGACUGAAAUAAAGACUUAAAAGAGGAUCCUGUUUGGGAAGCCCUUUCUGCAGAUCCUGAUGCCUUCCAGCACGCCGUUACAGCGCAGCUGGUGCAUCACCAGAGGGUUCUCCAUGGCCCCAGGAGUCUUGGUCUCAUUGGGGAUUAGACAGCGCACAAAGUGAGGGUGGGUGGACCGCAGACUGGAAAUGUCUGUGUGGACUCACAUACUGAGCACUACUGAUGGUUCAAAGGGAAAUAACAAUCUUAUCAGUUGUUUGGCACCUUCCCCAUGCCUUCUGCUGUUCUGAGACCAACAUGUCAUCCUUUGAAGUUUGGCCUCAAGAAAUGACAUGAAGAGGAUCCUGUUUGGGAAGCCCUUUCUGCAGAUCCUGAUGCCUUCCAGCACGCCGUUACAGCGCAGCUGGUGCAUCACCAGAGGGUUCUCCAUGGCCCCAGGAGUCUUGGUCUCAUUGGGGAUGAUGCAGCGCACAAAGUGAGGGUGGGUGGACCGCAGAAGUCUUUGAAGGCCAGUCAUGUGAGAUCAAGGUCAGACGGACUGUGGGCUAUUAUCCAUUCUGCUCUUCACUCCUUCAGCAGCAGCGUCAACACAUCAGUCCAGUUCAAGAAUGUUACUUUGCAAACAAAGGUGACCACAGCACAGAAGAACCCACGGGUCUUAGGUGGCCGUCAGUGAGUUUCACUCCUCAUCUAGCCCUUUCUGUGAUGAAGAAUGAUAAACAAAAGUAGACAAUGAAAGAUGGAUUAGUGUCAGAAAACUCAACAAGUGUUGCUCACAAUCAUUUUCUAGAUAUAUGCCAUGGCAUGAAUUGCAGGCCAUUCAAUUAACAAUAAAUUUAUGGCCAUUCUCAUCAGCCAAACUACUCUUUCUGAAAUAGUUUUGAAUAAAAAAGACAGCCAUGAUAAAUUGUGGAGAAUGAAAUUCUCAGGUUUGUAGAGACUCUUUUUUUUUUAACUCAUUAAAAAAAAACAAUACAUGUAAUGGUAAGUAUAGCAUCACAGUGACUUUAUUAGCAUGCCUAUUUUAUUAACAAGUAACUACUGACAUGAAAACAAUCAAAUCAUUGAUUGGCGUGUGCCUUGCUCAGUAAAUACAAAUGUGCAUUUAAUGUAAAAUUCAUCCAACAUCAUUACAACAUAAUAAAAAAUAAGGUUUCUGUAUACCUAACAACUUAAAAACUUUAUAAAUAACAUUUAAAGUCCUGAGGUUUAGCAUGCAAAUCUGUUCCUAAUUUGGUUCUGUCCUGCAUGCUCCCCACAUCAUCUUUGUCGCACAUCUUUGUUUUACCUCUUAAUAAUGCAGAAAAUAUUCAGAAAUAUGCCUAAACCCUAAUCAUGUUUUUGAUAGGAUUCAUUCUUUUAAGAUAAACUUGACUAACUUUAUAUUUACACCAAAUAAAAAUGAUCUGUUCACAGGA